rnacentral:rRNA from 1 species
UACGAAGGGGGCUAGCGUUGUUCGGAAUCACUGGGCGUAAAGGGCGCGUAGGCGGCCUGAUAAGUCGGGGGUGAAAGCCUGUGGCUCAACCACAGAAUUGCCUUCGAUACUGUUUGGCUUGAGACCGGAAGAGGUCAGUGGAACUGCGAGUGUAGAGGUGAAAUUCGUAGAUAUUCGCAAGAACACCAGUGGCGAAGGCGGCUGACUGGUCCGGUUCUGACGCUGAGGCGCGAAAGCGUGGGGAGCAAACAGG